GGUGCUCGAGUGGCGAACGGGUGAGUAACACGUGAGUAACCUGCCCUUGACUUUGGGAUAACUUCAGGAAACUGGGGCUAAUACCGGAUAGGAGCUCCUGCUGCAUGGUGGGGGUCGGAAAGUUUCGGCGGUUGGGGAUGGACUCGCGGCUUAUCAGCUUGUUGGUGGGGUAGUGGCUUACCAAGGCUUUGACGGGUAGCCGGCCUGAGAGGGUGACCGGCCACAUUGGGACUGAGAUACGGCCCAG
rnacentral:rRNA from 1 species